UACGUAGGGGGCUAGCGUUGUCCGGAAUCAUUGGGCGUAAAGAGCGUGUAGGCGGCCCGGUAAGUCCGCUGUGAAAGUCGGGGGCUCAACCCUCGAAUGCCGGUGGAUACUGUCGGGCUAGAGUGCGGAAGAGGCGAGUGGAAUUCCUAGUGUAGCGGUGAAAUGCGCAGAUAUCAGGAAGAACACCAACGGCGAAGGCAGCUCGCUGGGACGGUACUGACGCUGAGACGCGAAAGCGUGGGGAGCGAACAGG
rnacentral:rRNA from 1 species